UCUGAAACUGUAUGCUUACAAGAUGUCAGAGACCGUUAAAGGUUGAUGACGUGCCUAUUGAAGAAUGAGCCGGCGAGUUAUGUAUACAUGCGAGGUUAAGGAGAAGAUCCGGAGCCGUAGCGAAAGCGAGUCUGAAUAGGGCGUUCAGUAUGUGUAUGUAGACCCGAAACCCGACGAUCUAGCCAUGAUCAAGAUGAAGUAAGGGUCAAACCUUAUGGAGGUCUGAACCGACGUUCGUUGAAACGACCGCGGAUGAAUUGUGGCUCGUGGUGAAAUUCCAAUCGAGUCGGGUAAUAGCUGGUUCUCCUCGAAAUAGCUUUAGGGCUAGCCUCAGAACACUACAUUUUGGAGGUAGAGCACUGAAUGAAAGCGAGCCGCGCCAAGCGGUAUCAAUUUCAAUCAAACUCCGAAUUCCGAGAUGCUUAUUCUGGGAGUCAGACUGUGGGAGAUAAGUUUCAUGGUCAAAAGGGCAACAGCCCGGACCGCCAACUAAGGUCCCUAAAUUCGCGCUAAGUGUUAAAGGAUGUAGAGAUACUUAAACAGCUAGGAUGUUGGCUCAGAGGCAGCCAUCAUUUAAAGAAUGCGUAACAGCUCACUAGUCAAGUGUCUCCGCGCCGAAAAUUUACCGGGGCUAAGCGCGAUACCGAAGUUGCGGAUAUUUCUAAAGAAAUGUGGUAGGGGAGCGUUCCAUUAGCAUAGAAGCCAUACCGGAAGGAGUGGUGGAGCGAAUGGAAGUGAGAAUGCCGGCGUAAGUAACGAUAAGAGGUGAGAAUCCUCUUCACCAUUUGACUAAGGUUUCCUGGGCUAGGUUCGUCCACCCAGGGUCAGUCGGGACCUAAGACGAGGCCGAAAGGCGUAGCCGAUGGACAGCAGGUUAAUAUUCCUGAACCCGGUUGUGUGCGAUCGCAGUGACGAAAGCGGUUAGGUUUACCCACGAAUGGAAGUGUGGGGAGAUAGUGAUAAGCUGUCGGCUAGAAUCCGACACCAAGUGAAACACCGAAGUACGAAAGGGGUGACCUGAGUAGGAAGUAGCUGAUACCGAUUUCCAAGAAAAGCUGCUAGCUUAAGCACAAUCGGCCCGUACCGAGAACGGACACACGUGGUCAAGGAGAGUAUCCUAAGGUGAGCGAGAUAACUGUUGUUAAGGAACUCUGCAAAAUUACUUCGUAAGUUAGCGAGAAGAAGUGCUCCGUAAAAGGAGCCGCAGUGAAGAGGCCCAAGUAACUGUUUACCAAAAACACAGCUCUAUGCUAAGUCGUAAGACGAUGUAUAUGGGGUGAAGCCUGCCCGGUGCCGGAAGGUUAAUAGGAGAGGUGAAAGCUUUGAAUUGAAGCCCCGGUGAACGGCGGCCGUAACUAUAACGGUCCUAAGGUAGCGAAAUUCCUUGUCAGGUAAGUUCUGACGUGCACGAAUGGUUUAAUAAUUUGGGCGCUGUCUCGACAGCAGACUCGGUGAAAUCUUAAUACCGGUGAAGAUGCCGGUUACCCGCGACUAGACGGAAAGACCCCAUGGAGCUUUACUACAACUUAAUAUUGAGUAAUUGCAAAUCAUGUAGAGGAUAGGUGGGAGGCUAUGAAGUAAUGGCGCUAGCUAUUAUGGAGCCGCCCUUGGAAUACCACCCUUGAUUUACAGUUAUUCUAACUUCCUCCCUGGAUGGGAGGGAAGACAGUGUUAGGCGGGUAGUUUGGCUGGGGCGGCCGCCUCCCAAAUAGUAACGGAGGCGCCCUAAGGUACCCUCAGUAUGGUCGGAAAUCAUACGUAGAGCGCAAAUGCAUAAGGGUGCUUGACUGCGAGACACACAGGUCGAGCAGGUACGAAAGUAGGGAUUAGUGACCAGGCGGUUUCAUUGUGGAAUGGCCGUCGCUUAACGGAUAAAAGCUACCCUGGGGAU
rnacentral:rRNA from 1 species